rnacentral:rRNA from 1 species
CCUACGGGUGGCAGCAGUGAGGAAUAUUGGUCAAUGGGCGCGAGCCUGAACCAGCCAAGUAGCGUGAAGGAUGACUGCCCUACGGGUUGUAAACUUCUUUUAUAAAGGAAUAAAGUGAGGCACGUGUGCCUUUUUAUAUGUACUCUAUGAAUAAGGAUCGACUAACUGCGUUCCAGCAGCCGCGGUAAUACGGAGGAUCCGAGCGUUAUACGGAUUUAUUGGGUUUAAAGGGAGCGUAGAUGGGUUGGUAAGUCAGUUGUGAAAGUUUGCGGCUCAACCGUAAAAUUGCAAUUGAUACUGGCAGACUUGAGUACAGGUGAGGUAGGCGGAAUUCGUGGUGUAGCAGUGAAAUGCUUAGAUAUCACGAAGAACACCGAUGGCGAAGGCAGGCUACUAGACUGCCACUGACAUUGAUGCUCGAAAGUGUGGGUAUCAAACAGGAUUAGAUACCCGUGUAGUC